GAUGAACGCUGGCGGCGUGCCUAAUACAUGCAAGUCGAGCGAACAGAUAAGGAGCUUGCUCCUUUGACGUUAGCGGCGGACGGGUGAGUAACACGUGGGUAACCUACCUAUAAGACUGGGAUAACUUCGGGAAACCGGAGCUAAUACCGGGUAAUAUUUCGAACCGCAUGGUUCGAUAGUGAAAGAUGGUUUUGCUAUCACUUAUAGAUGGACCCGCGCCGUAUUAGCUAGUUGGUAAGGUAACGGCUUACCAAGGCGACGAUACGUAGCCGACCUGAGAGGGUGAUCGGCCACACUGGAACUGAGACACGGUCCAGACUCCUACGGGAGGCAGCAGUAGGGAAUCUUCCGCAAAGGGCGAAAGCCUGACGGAGCAACGCCGCGUGAGUGAUGAAGGUCUUCGGAUCGUAAAACUCUGUUAUUAGGGAAGAACAUACGUGUAAGUAACUGUGCACGUCUUGACGGUACCUAAUCAGAAAGCCACGGCUAACUACGUG
rnacentral:rRNA from 1 species